rnacentral:rRNA from 1 species
UGGGACAGAAAGACCCUAUGAAGCUUUACUGUAGCUUGGUAUUGUGCCCGGGCUCUGAAUGCGCAGGAUAGGUGGGAGACGUUGAUCUAGUGCUCGUGGGUACUAGGGAGUCAAUGGUGAGAUACCACUCUUUCAGAGCUAGGGUUCUAACGUUCACCCGUUAUCCGGGGAGCGGACAGUAUCAGGUGGGCAGUUUGACUGGGGCGGUCGCCUCCUAAAAGGUAACGGAGGCGCGCAAAGGUUUCCUCAGGCUGGUUGGAAAUCAGCCGACGAGUGCAAAAGCAGAAGGAAGCUUGACUGUGAGACCUACAAGUCGAACAGGGACGAAAGUCGGCUUUAGUGAUCCGACGGUUCUGAGUGGAAGGGCCGUCGCUCAACGGAUAAAAGUUACUCUAGGGAUAACAGGCU